GCGUACCAUCCUAGUUGGCUUC
rnacentral:piRNA from 1 species